rnacentral:misc_RNA from 1 species
CGAGGCCACGAACCGCAUCGGCGGCAGGAUGCACAAGACCAAAUUCGCCGGUCUCAAUGUCGAGCUCGGGGCAAACUGGGUGGAGGGUGUUAAUGGCAAGGAAGUGAACCCCAUCUGGACCAUCGCCAACCAGCUCCGUCUUCGUAACUUUUACUCCGACUUCACCAACCUCUCAUCCAAUGCUUACAAACAAGAGGGUGGGCUCUAUGAUAGCAAGGUGACGGAACAGGCCAUUGAUGUGUCCGAUAAGGUCUCCAGCGCCGGCGAG